GUUCCUCAACUGCGUUGCCCCUCCAGUCAGCAGAUGGCGAUGUGCGUCUUUUACGUUCAGGCGACGCUGCCAGUGUGACGUAUAAUCUAGUGGACGGGACGCUCCUUCAACAACAACAGUUAGACACCUCGGUAGCUUUCUAGCAAACAUAGCUACAACAUUCACUCUCUUUACACUGUUUUGGUGUACAUUCGUCGCUGUGUAUUAAACACACUUCUGUCGUAUGUACGUGUUGGCCCAUUUAAUUAUAUAUUUACGUGGUUUGUCAGCUAGCUGGUUUGCUAAAUUAGCUUAGAACUAGGCUAGUCGCUAAUGCUAGCUAGCGAACAUCUCCGACCAUGAGUUCACUAAGCUGCUCUCCUCCUGAUAAAGAAGAGGAGGUCUUCUGGACGGAGAAAGAAGUUCUCCUGAAAGAGGAGGAGGAAGAGAAGGAUGUUACAAUACAAAAACAAGUAGAGGGUGAGGCUGUUCCCGUGAAAGAAGAGAAAGACGUUUCAGUGAAAGAAAAGGAAGACUCGUUCAGAGUGAAAGAGGAGGAGGAUGUUACAGUAAAAGAAGAGGAAGCGGAGAGAGAGGAGGAUGCAGUUUUUGGAGUGAAAGAGGGGGAGGGGGAGAUGACUGUCACAUCGAAAAAGGAGGAGGAGGACGAAGAAGAGGAAACUGGAUAUCUGGGCCCGGUUUCCCAAACGCAUCUUAAGGCAUCCUAUGGUUCUAACGGUGAACUCAGCCGUAAGAUGGUUUUGAGAAACUGGGCCGUGAUUAACACUAGAGAGAGACGUGACUAUCGUGGAUCCUCUGGGGAGCCUCAACAACAUCAUGAAGCUGACGAGGCAGAGAAGAGUCCCUCCCGAUCAGAACACCUCAAGAAACACCAGUGGAGACCAACAGGGAAGAAAUCUCACUGCUGCUCUGACUGUGGGAAGAGUUACUUAAGAUCAAAUUCACUAAAAGUACCAUGAGAAUUCACACUGGAGAGAAACCUUAUAGCUGUGAUCAAUGUGGGAAGAGUUUUACUCAAUCAAGCAGCCUGUUAUCUCACCAAAGAAAACACACAGGAGAGAAAUCUUACAGCUGUUAUCAAUGUGGGAAGAGUUUUACUCAAUCAAGCAGCCUGUUAUCACACCAGAGAACACACACAGGAGAGAAAUCUUAUAGUUGUGAGCAAUGUGGGAAGAAUUUUAUGACAUCCAGCCAUCUGAUUGUACACCAGAGAACACACACAGGAGAGAAACCUCAUAGCUGUGAUCAAUGUGAGAAGAGAUACUCUGAUAAAAGAUCUCUGAUCAAACAUCAGAAAAUACAUUAAUGAUGGAGUUGUUUCAUGAUAUUAAUGAAUUAAUGUCACAAUGUAGAAUGUUUAAACAUUUUAGUAGGAGUAUUUUAAUGAUGUCACAGUGUAGAAUGUUUAAACAUUGUAGUAGGAGUAUUUUAAUGAUGUCACAAUGUAUAAUGUUUAAACAUUGUAGUAGGAGUAUUUUAAUGAUGUCACAAUGUAGAAUGUUUAAACAUUGUAGAAGGAGUAUUUUAAUGAUGUCACAAUGUAGAAUGUUUAAACAUUGUAGAAGGAGUAUUUUAAUGAUGUCACAAUGUAGAACACUAAACGUUUGCUCCCUGUUCAAUUGAUUUCUGCAUGAUAUGGAUAUUAGCCUCAGGGGGGAAAUCCAGGCUCUGAAUUGAAAGAGUGAUAUUUAUAUGAUAUAACAGAAAGUGACUAACACAAAAAGAGCUGUGUUACACUUACAGCAUUGGUGACCCACUGGAAUCAAAAUGUAGCUAGAUGUUUUCUACAAGUUGUCCUCUAACCAGUGAUGUGCACAUUAUUCCCAGAUUCCAUGUGGUGUUUGAGCUGUUAGUUUUAACAGGACAACCUCAUCUCCAGACUCUCACACAAAUGAUUUCAACAUGAUAUCGAUGAGUGAUGAAAAAUAAGUGUUGCGUUCCUUUGUUUAACGACCUCUAAAUGUAAAUGCAUCUCUCCAAAAUGUAGCUGACUGUCUUCUGCAGGUUGUCCUCUAACCAGGGAGGUAAAAUAUAUCUCCCAUUUCCAUGUGUUUUUUAGUUGUGUUAGUUUCAACAGCACCAACAACCUGAUUUCCCCCUAAUUGAUAUCAGUGAUUUAUUGCUACUUGUCAAAACAACAGUGUUUCUGGUGCUCCUGCAUUUUAAAAGGUGCUUGUUUAAGUAAUAUGAUUAUUGUUGCAGAUGUUUGUGCAGAUGGUACAUUUUAUGUUUAGGUUUUCAAUAUCACAAAUGGUUUCUGCAUAUUGGUUAUUGAUUUGGACACAUUAAAACUGUGUUUUGACAUUGGGCUGAACCACCUAGCAAAAUGUCAUUAAAAAGACGUUGAAAAUCAGACUAUA